AUGACAUCCAACAGCAGCAUGGCAUGGGGCCUCGUGCUAUUGUUUAAUGAAAAAGGAACAGUGGCGUUUCCCACACUGGCUCAUUGUUGCUCUCAGCUGAUCUGUCUCAACGGGCUGAGGCCUGUCAAACGCUGCAUUUAGGUCCAGGCAGCUCUGAUCAACUCAGAACAAAGUGGAACAAACAGACACCCUCCUGCUGGAGCUUACAGGUAUUACACACACUCACUUCACUUCUUGGUAUCUAUCUAUCUAUCUAUCUAUCUAUCUAUCUAUCUAUCUAUCUAUCUAUCUAUCUAUCUAUCAUCUGUCUGUCUGUCUGUCUGUCUGUCUGUCUGUCCAUCUUUCGUUUUGUCAUUCUAUCUAUCGUUCUAUACAUCUGUCUAUCUAAGAGUUCCUAACACACAUGUCCUGUCGGCUGAAAGCAGAGCACAGGAUGUGUGAAAAGGCCACAGAAAAUGGGCUCCCUGAAGGGGAAUGGCAUCUCAGAUACUACUUCCUCUCCUAACACAGGAUGUUUUCUACAGUUUCAUGUAGUGUCAG
ensembl:lncRNA